rnacentral:lncRNA from 1 species
GCUCCUGCUCCGGCUCCUGCGGGGAUGGAUGCUUCAGGCAGUAAGCGAGUAAGCGAGCCCUGGAGACCGGGGCCCUGGGUGUGCGGUCGGCUCAGUGCCCCGCGGUGAGAUAGGCAUGGUUAUCAACCCACGCCAAGGCGGCUGUGUACCUGGCAUAGAAAACACUGCUGUUGAAUGUUGUUCCCAUAGUCAUUCUCCAGCGUCCACUGAUGAGAGGUGCCACCAUGGACACCCGGCCUUGCUCCGUCGAAGCUUUGGUCCAUUAGGACCCAAGUCAGGCCCCAGCGGGCCUCCCUGCCAUUUCUGGACGGCCUCGCGUCCUCCCAGAGCCUGACCUUCCAAGUCGCGGAAGCGUAGACACCCGGCUCUUCCCGCGUGCUCCAUCGGGCUCCCCUGGACACGGAGGGUGGAACAGAAAGAGCAGAGGGACCGAUGGGAGCCAUGGGGAGUCCGCCUAGCUCCAGAGGACACCUUACCUGGAUCCGCCUUUGUAGCCUCCUCCUGGCUCUGGGGGCUGUCCUGUGGGGUCAGAGUAGCUGAAAGACAGCCCCUCCAUGUGAGGAAGCCCCCAACUGGGGAAAACCCCCUCGUGGACUCAUUCCUGUCCCUGCAUAUGGCCUUCACCUGACUGUCUGCAUUGAGGCGUCCUCUGCCAAGGGCAAUUUCAAAGUGGCAGGAAAGUGCUGCUUUCAACGUCUGCCACAUUUGCAAGAAGAGCAAAGGUGGCCCGUUUGAGACCACCCUUGAACUAAACCAUCCAGUGAGCCCGUGAG